UACAGAGGGUGCGAGCGUUAAUCGGAAUUACUGGGCGUAAAGCGCGCGUAGGCGGCUUUGCAAGUCGGGUGUGAAAACCUGCAGCUUAACUGCGGGCUUGCGGUCGAUACGGGCAUCACUGGAGUUCGGCAGGGGAGACUGGAAUUCCUGGUGUAGCGGUGAAAUGCGCAGAUAUCAGGAGGAACACCGGUGGCGAAGGCGGGUCUCUGGGCCGAUACUGACGCUGAGGAGCGAAAGCGUGGGGAGCGAACAGG
rnacentral:rRNA from 1 species